rnacentral:rRNA from 1 species
GGUUUUUAGAAAAUAUUAAAAAUUAGGCCUGCUCAAUGAAAAUUUAAUAGCCGCAGUAUCAUGACUGUGCAAAGGUAGCAUAAUAAUUUGUCUUUUAAUUUAGGACUGGAAUGAAUGGUUAGACCAAGUAAUAUUGUCUUGAGGUUAUAUUUUGAAUUUUAUAUUUUAGUAAAAAAGCUAAAAUUUAUUUCAGGGACGAGAAGACCCUGUCAAACUUUACAAACUAAUCUUUCUCUCUUAAGGUGGAAUAAGUUUGUUUCACUGGGGCAGUGAGUAAUAAAAUUUUACUUAUUUAUUGUGGAUAUAUUUCUUGAAAAAUCAGGAAUUUCCUAAAGAAAAAUAAGUUACUGCAGGGAUAACAGCGUAAUUCUUUUUUAGAGUUCUUAUCGAUACAAGAGUUUGCGACCUCGAUGUUGGAUUAAAAUCCCUUUCCCACGCAAUAGGGGGAGAAGGAAGUCUGUUCGACUUUUAAAAUUUUCCA